UACGUAGGGGGCAAGCGUUGUCCGGAUUUAUUGGGAGUAGAGAGCGUGUAGGCGGCAAGGUAGGUCAGCGGGGAAAACUCGAGGCUCAACCUCGAGACGUCGGUUGAAACCACCUGGCUAGAGUCCGGAAGAGGAGAGUGGAAUUCCUGGUGUAGCGGUGAAAUGCGCAGAUAUCAGGAGGAACACCGGUGGCGAAGGCGGUUCUCUGGGCCUGUACUGACGCUGAGGAACGAAAGCGUGGGGAGCGAACAGG
rnacentral:rRNA from 1 species